rfam:Capsicum annuum cultivar Zunla-1 chromosome 3, whole genome shotgun sequence
UGAUGAUGGUGAUGGAAAUUUUUGAGAUUACCCUUAAAUCUCUCCCAAGCUUGGUAGAGAUUCUCUCCAUCUUUCAGUCUGAAACUCAAGUUCUCGCUUCUCAACCA